CAGUGUACAUUACUGUUAAUUAUGCAGUUA
rnacentral:piRNA from 1 species